UAUAACAUAUAUAACUCAUUUAAUAUAAUUAUAAAUAUAAGAAAUCUAAUUUUUAAUUAAAAUAUAGUAAUAGAAAUAUUAAAUAUUAAAAAGUAAAAAUAU
rnacentral:rRNA from 1 species